GAUCUUUAAAACCCUAAUUUACAGAGGUUGAUGCUACAGCAAUACGUUUAUUCAUUUUAGUUUUGUUCACUCCUGUCUGCUCCUUGUGGCACACCAAUUCAGUGCCUUUUCAAGCAGAGAUCAUUGUGAAAUCAUAGGUUGGGAGGAUGACCGCUCGAGUGCACUGCUUGAUGAUUGCUGUUGCAUUGUGUCUGUUCAGAUACUGGAGCAUAACCGACGCUACUCUAGGUUUGGGAUUACUUGAGAAGUGCAAGAAUCUCCUUCUGAUCGAGACUGCUCUGGAGGAAGCCAAUGUUCUAAAUUGCACUUGAGGCCAGGUCAGUGUCCCGACCUGAAGAACAUUCCACUGUUUGCUGAAAGCUGUGUCCGUGAUGGCCAGUGCCCUGCCACACAGAAGUGUUGCCCAACCACCCGUGGCCACGGAUGCAGUGAACCAAGCGGCCACGGCCAAGGAAUGGGUCCUUCUAUCAUUUUAAACCAUCUUCUCACAUUCCUAAUCUUACCUACUCUUAUAUUUUCAUGCAUUUCGUCAGUGGAUAUAUAUAUAUAUGAUGGAAUUCCAUAUAUUACAUCUUUUUUCCCCUUUUGUACUCUAAUCUCUUUGGUUGUGACAUUUUCUCCGUUCAUUUUCUUUUAUUUUGAGUAGUUUGUUUUUCUGCCCAAUAUCUUUCACUAUGAUCAGAACUCUCCCUUGACCAAUACACUUGUUUUUUUUUUUUUUUUUUUUUUUAUUUCUUAAUCGAUUGCCUUGGAUAGUCCUAUGGGAUGCAAAUGCGAUACUGUACUCUUUUCAAGUGUUAGCAUAAUUUUGUGUCCAUUCUCCAUUAUUUCUUGGUUUUCUUUUUUUUUUUUUUUAUCCUCCAUUGAUUCCAUCAUAUCUUCGCUAUCCCCCUGAUCCUUAGAUUUCUUUCUA